UAACCUGCCCAAGAGAUCGGGAUAACACCUGGAAACAGAUGCUAAUACCGGAUAACAACAGAUGAUGCCUAUCAACUGUUUAAAAGAUGGUUCUGCUAUCACUCUUGGAUGGACCUGCGGUGCAUUAGCUAGUUGGUAGGGUAACGGCCUGCCAAGGCGAUGAUGCAUAGCCGAGUUGAGAGACUGAUCGGCCACAUUGGGACUGAGACACGGCCCAAACUCCUACGGGAGGCAGCAGGU
rnacentral:rRNA from 1 species